rnacentral:rRNA from 1 species
UACGGGGGGGGCAAGCGUUGUUCGGAAUUACUGGGCGUAAAGGGCUCGUAGGCGGCCAACUAAGUCAGACGUGAAAUCCCUCGGCUUAACCGGGGAACUGCGUCUGAUACUGGAUGGCUUGAGUUUGGGAGAGGGAUGCGGAAUUCCUGGUGUAGCGGUGAAAUGCGCAGAUAUCAGGAGGAACACCAAUGGCGAAGGCAGCACUCUGGGACGUGACUGACGCUGAGACGCGAAAGCGUGGGGAGCAAACAGG